rnacentral:lncRNA from 1 species
CAGGUAUGUGACUACUUUGUCUCUUAUGUUCAUUCUUCUAUUGAGCAGCAAACUGAUUUGAGUGUCGAAGAAUUUCUGUCGGAGCCAACUUCGAUAGAAAUUUUUUUUGCAGGUCUCAUCCCCAACGGCCCGGUGCUCCACCGAUUUCAGUCAUUCCGAUGCUCGAUAAAAUUCUGCACCAACAGAUUGACGUUAGAAGAAGGAGCCUCAUCCCCAUUCGAAGAAGCAUUGAUCGAAAGUAGAGUAGCAAUGGUGCCCAAAAAAAUAUCCUUUCAUCGCUCUAACACCACUACCUCUCGACAGAUGGAAGGCAAGGCCAACAACUAGGUGCAGCCAUCACAGGUAGAAAUCCCUCCCUCCGCCAUCUCAGCCAACGGUGGUGACGGCACACAAGUUUAACUUGCUUUUUCAGCAAAUUUAAAAUCUGACAACCAGAACAAAGAAAGGUAAGAACGAAAGUCCCUCGUGCAUCCGUCUUCAGCCUCGGCCAAGGCCACCCAUGCAUGGCCGUCCACGCUCUACGCGGAGAACAGGUGCCACGAUAUUCCCUCGUUGAUUCUCGAUUUGCGUGUGUUAUGGGAAUUGCCGUGGGCCACUUGUACCUGGCACCUCCCUUCUUGUUCCACCCUACCGCAAAUGACAGAAAGGAUGGGAGGAAAAAAAAGAGGAGGAAUGGGCUUCUUCCUCUGGUCCCAUCCUGUCACCAGUGACGCCAAAAAGAAGAAGAAGAAGAAGAAGAAGAAAGGGAGAGGAAAAGGAGGGAAGGAAGCGAGAGAGAAGCCGCAGUGGAGAGGAAAAAAAGCACUGGCGGUCACCGACCUUCCUCAUGUGCACGCACGCCUCCGCCGUCGCCGGGGGCGGCGGAAAAAAUCACUGGCGGUCACCGAC